rnacentral:rRNA from 1 species
CAGCCGUAAACAAUGUGCGUUAGGUAUGUCGGUAACCACGUGUUACUGAUGUGCCGAAGAGAAAUCGUGAAACGCACCACCUGGGAAGUACGGUCGCAAGGCUGAAACUUAAAGGAAUUGGCGGGGGAGCACCACAACAGGUGGAGCCUGCGGGUUUAAUUUGGAUUCAACACCGUAAACUACACCAGGGAAGACUGUUACAUGAAGGCCGAGAUGAAGACUCUGCUAGAUUUUCAGAGAGGUGGUGCAUGGCGUCAGUGACU